UCGAGCGAGGGGAAGGAUCUAACGCGCAAAUUCCCCAUUUGAAGAGCUAAGGCGCGGAUCCGGGUCCUGGAACGGGUCGACGCACGGAUCUCUUAUCCUUAAACGGCGACAUUUCAUUUUUAAUCCAAAAUUACAGGAAACUGAAUGGCAAUCUUCCAUUUCUUCAAGCCACAAUUGAAUCAAAACCCUAAUGCCUCAUUUUCCCCUCAUUUGGCUGACAAAAGAAACAAAACCAUAGCACCCUUUCGAUUCUCAUCAAGUUUAGCCAAAAAAAGCUCAUUAAUUGUCAUGGCACCAUUGUAUUUGAUGAAUGGCGAUGAGUAUAUACCCCUCUUUUCCCCGUUUGAAAAACCACUUGUGACUGCUGAUUUUAACUUAGAGAUCCUAUCUCAAGCUCCGAUUGCGAUGAAGGAGAUAGGGGUUCCGAUGGUGUACUUAUGAAGGCUCGGCUGUACAGAGGAACGAGGGGAGGAUCUCGUGAAGGAGGCCAUGUUGGGAACCGCUCGUGGGAGCCUGACCCUUUGGCACUAUUCUAGCAUAUUCCAGAAGUUUCUCGGCUGCUGAGUUUCUUUGGGUUCUGUUGGGUCUCAGAUUUGGGCUACUGGAAUCGGGUCUGGGCAUUGAGUGGAUUGCUUGGGUUUUAAUUUAAGCCUGAAAUUCUAUACAUGGGUUAGGAUUCUUGGGUCAUUUGGGCUAGGUUUAUUGGGUUAAGGAUUUUGGAUAUAAUUGUUAAGCUAUAGGUUUGGGUUUAAGCCCGAAAUUAAGUUUGGGUUAAUCGGUUUGGGUUUAAUUUAGGCCCAGAAUUUUGUAAAUGGACGUUGGCCUCAUAAACACCUUAGUUUAUUUAUUUUUAUUUGAUACACAUAUUUUUUGGUU